rnacentral:rRNA from 1 species
GGAUCCAGACUUUGAUCCUGGCUCAGGAUGAACGCUGGCGGCGUGCCUAACACAUGCAAGUCGAACGGAGUUAUGAUGUGAGCGGGAAGUGCUUGCACUAAACAAUCUUUUCAUAACUUAGUGGCGGACGGGUGAGUAACGCGUGGGUAACCUGCCCUGUACUGGGGGACAACAGUUGGAAACGACUGCUAAUACCGCAUAAGCGCACGGGAUCGCAUGAUCUAGUGUGAAAAACUCCGGUGGUACAGGAUGGACCCGCGUCUGAUUAGCUGGUUGGUGAGGUAACGGCCCACCAAGGCAACGAUCAGUAGCCGGCCUGAGAGGGUGAACGGCCACAUUGGGACUGAGACACGGCCCAAACUCCUACGGGAGGCAGCAGUGGGGAAUAUUGCACAAUGGGGGAAACCCUGAUGCAGCGACGCCGCGUGAGUGAAGAAGUAUUUCGGUAUGUAAAGCUCUAUCAGCAGGGAAGAAAAUGACGGUACCUGACUAAGAAGCCCCGGCUAACUACGUGCCAGCAGCCGCGGUAAUACGUAGGGGGCAAGCGUUAUCCGGAUUUACUGGGUGUAAAGGGAGCGUAGACGGCAUGGCAAGUCUGAAGUGAAAUGCGGGGGCUCAACCCCUGAACUGCUUUGGAAACUGUCAGGCUGGAGUGCAGGAGAGGUAAGUGGAAUUCCUAGUGUAGCGGUGAAAUGCGUAGAUAUUAGGAGGAACACCAGUGGCGAAGGCGGCUUACUGGACUGUAACUGACGUUGAGGCUCGAAAGCGUGGGGAGCAAACAGGAUUAGAUACCCUGGUAGUCCACGCCGUAAACGAUGAUUACUAGGUGUUGGGGAUUAAUAAAUCCCCGGUGCCGUCGCAAACGCAAUAAGUAAUCCACCUGGGGAGUACGUUCGCAAGAAUGCAACUCAAAUGAAUUGACGG